UAUAACAUCAGGAUAAUUGGCACUUUGCAAUGGGCAGUUUUACCCAGUAAAGGAAAUGAUUAGAGGUUUUGGGGCUGAAACAAUCUCAGCCUAUUCUCAAACUUUCAAUGGGUAAGGGAGCAGGCUCGUGUGGUAGGGGACUUGGGAGGAGUUCCCCCCGACAUGCCAUGGGAGGAGGCUGUGAUGUAGACUCCCGCCUCCCAGGAUGUCCAUCAAACACUACCACUCCCCCCGAAUUAUGUAAUUAUCAGUUAUUCCCACCUUCUGGUUAUGUCAAUCACCCAUUUGUACUUACCCUUGUUCUGGAAGGUUCUUAAGUUCUUUGAGUAUAAUUGGUUCUUCCCCAGUUACCGCCCCCUUCCCUCAUCCUCAUUUGUUGUAUCCCUAUCACCCCAUCCUAACUCCUCCUCCGAACCCUGUUCCUAUUGGACCCUUUGUAUCCUGCCCCUCCUACUCUGCACCUGGUUAUAAACUCUACCCUGCCCCUUGCUCGGGGCUCUGUUCGAGCCUGCUCCCUUGCUGUGUGUUUGGGUCGCAGAUCCCAGCUGACAUCCAGCCCUCAGUGAAAUAGAGCAGCUUGAAAGAGUCAUCCCGCCUGGUACGAGCCUCAUUUAUCCACCAUUGUAGAGGAGCUGCUAGCCAAGUUCUCUACUAUUUGGAGAUCUCGCGAGGCAGGACCUCUACAGGCUCAGCAUGGAGCUAAACUGUGGAACACGAGUGGUCUGUAGGCCACUUUUGGUAAGCAGAACUGGCUCUGCAGGAUGAAGUGAACGCUGCCGUAAGGUGCCCACUGCUGACGCACAUCAGAGCCCAGAAAAGGUGUUGGUUGAUCUGGACAGCAGGAUCAUGGCCAUGGAAGUCAGAAUCUGCUAAUGAGUGUGUAACAGCUCACUUGAAUCCGCCAGCCCUGAAAAUGAAUGGAGGUGGGGCAGGUGGCCUGGCGCCACGCGAGCAGUGGUGGGUGUUACAGCCCCCAG
rnacentral:ncRNA from 1 species